AUUGAACGCUGGCGGCAGGCCUAACACAUGCAAGUCGAGCGGAUGAGGAGAGCUUGCUCUCUGAUUUAGCGGCGGACGGGUGAGUAAUGCCUAGGAAUCUGCCUGGUAGUGGGGGAUAACGUCCGGAAACGGGCGCUAAUACCGCAUACGUCCUACGGGAGAAAGCAGGGGACCUUCGGGCCUUGCGCUAUCAGAUGAGCCUAGGUCGGAUUAGCUAGUUGGUGAGGUAAUGGCUCACCAAGGCUACGAUCCGUAACUGGUCUGAGAGGAUGAUCAGUCACACUGGAACUGAGACACGGUCCAGACUCCUACGGGAGGCAGCAGUGGGGAAUAUUGGACAAUGGGCGAAAGCCUGAUCCAGCCAUGCCGCGUGUGUGAAGAAGGUCUUCGGAUUGUAAAGCACUUUAAGUUGGGAGGAAGGGCAGUAAGUUAAUACCUUGCUGUUUUGACGUUACCGACAGAAUAAGCACCGGCUAACUUCGUGCCAGCCGCCGCAGUAAUAC
rnacentral:rRNA from 1 species